GACAAGAUCAGAUUUUGGUUGCAAUGAAUGAAGAGUUCAGCAACUGAAAGAACAGAGUUUAAUCGAGCAAAGAACAACACAAGAAUCAGGCAGCACCACCACCCCCUCCCCGGACUGAAAUUUUGAAGUAGUCAAAUUUCCAGCUUACCAUCUAGAAUGUCUUCACUGAUAUUCUUACAAAAUCUAUCGUCAUUGGAAGAUAGGCUAUUCAUGUAUGUUUUCUACUAAUUAUUUAGAGUUGUAAUUGUUUCAUUCUUAUUACUUGAUGUUCCUUAAAAUAGCAACAAAAUUUUCACCAUAUCAUAUUUUGAAUAAUCAGAUCCUUGUAUUACUGGUUUGUGAUCUUUCCUUCUUUUGUUUUUCUUUCCUUCCCAUUCAUCCAUCUUCUCAUGUACUCAAAAAUUAUUUGCUGAGUGUUUACCACAUGCCAGGUUCAGUUUAGGGAGGCAUUUGAGAUAUAUUAAUGAAUAAGACAGACAAACUCCUUGCUGUCACAGAUUUUACAUGCCAAAAUUCAAGGCUAUUGUAUGUCUAUGAAAAACUGAAUGUUUUAUGACUAUACAAGGCUAUUCUCUGUUUCUUUCAAUGCUUUUCUUUGAAGUAUAUUAUCUUGAUAUUACAGUUGCUGUCCCUGUAAUCCUUUUACCAAGCUACAUCAUUUAUUUUAGCUGCCUCUUCUAAGAAGCAUAUAGUUGGAUAUUGUCUAUAAAGCCAGUCAAUAAUUUUUGCCUUUUACUAGGUAAGUUUAAAGCAUUUAUGUAUAGUACCAUAACUAACGUUUGAUAGCUUUGUCAUCAUCUAUUAUGCUUCCUUUGUAAAUAAUCUUGUUACUUUCUUUUGUUAUUCUUCUCAUUGCUGCUUCUUAUUAUGAGUCUUAUUAAUAGCCAGGAAUUUUGCACUGAGCACAUAAAAAUUAGUAACAAUGAACACUGAUUGAGUGCUUACAACGUGCCAGGUAUUGUACUCUAUAUGAUUUUUUUCAUUUAAUCGUCACAAUGCUAUUGCAUAAACAUCUUUUAUGAGCAUUUUUUAAAACAUUUACUUAGUGAUUAGAAACAUCAAUAAUAUAUUUAUUUCAUGUGUACUGAUGAAUUAUGUAAACUUCCAUACUUCCUUCCCUCUUUAAAUUAUUCACUAGAAUUAAGUAGACUUAAGAUACAAAUAAUGAUUUAAAUUAUUUUCACUGCUAUUGGCAUGAUUAUUUUUGACAAUUGCUUUCAGUUAUUUAGACUUAAUCAUAUCUUACUGGUUACAUUGCUUUCCAGUAGUCCUCUUACACUUGUUUUCCUCUUGCUUGAAUUAUUGAUUUUUGUUCGCCUCUCAGUGGGAAAAGCAUAUUUUUAUCUAGAAAGGCAUGUGGAUGGUACCCUUCCUAAGCUAGUGCAUGCGUAACUCAGCACUUUUCCUUCUUGGCCUUUGACUAUGCUAAAAUACAUGGUCACUUUGUCAGUAAAGGUUGUUUCUCCCACUUCAUCAAUUAACCCUUUGUAGGUCAAGUUUAAGAUUAAAGUAGCAGAUCCCCAUCCCCAAGCUUCCUUAAUUUUUUAUCCAGUAGUCUGACUUAAAUAAGGCCAGAAUUGGACUCCGACAAGGAAAUUUAAGCCUUCAGGCUAUGGCUUAUUGUUUUAGCUAUACAUUUGCUGGGGGCACAUCCUGUGUGAAAGAUCUGGAGCUCAUUUAUUCCUGAUUUGGGGCAUGGCUGUGGACCUUAGGCUCUCCAGGGGCCUUGAUUUUCUAUUCCUUCCUUUUAAGGCUGGUUUCUAAUCAGUACUAACAAGACUCCUGAUUCUGGGCCUUGUACCUAGCCUGGGUCUUUGAUAUCUGGUGAAACUGAAUUUGGCUCAUGGUCCAAUGUGACACAUAAAACCUUCAGAUGCCUCAGCUUUCUACCACACUUAUAGUCCUAGUCAAAUUAAACUGUGAAUAUUAGCUCAAGAGUUCAAAGCCUGGCUCAGCUUCUUGGUAACUAUUUAAUCUAAAUAAGGCUUUAUAAUCCUUCAUUUCCUCAUCAACAAAAUGGGGAUAAUAACAGUACCUAUUUCUAUGUGUUAUUAGGUUAAAUAAGAUAAAGCCUUUUGGCCAGGUGUGCUGGCUCACACCUGUAAUCUCAGCACUUUGGGAGGCCAAGGCAGGCAGAUCACCUGAGCUUAUGAGUUUGAGAUCAACCUGGGCAACAUAGUGAAACCUUGUCUUUACCAAAAAUACAAAAAAUUAGCUGGGCAUGGUGACAGGUGCCUGUGGUCCCAGCUACUUGGAAGGCUAAGGUGGGAGGAUCCCUUGAGCCUGGGAGGUUGGAGGCUGCAGUGAGCUGAGAUCACACCGCUGCGCUCCAGCCUGAGUGACAGAGCGAGACCCCCUCUCAAACAAACAAACAAAAAAAAACAAAAAAACAAAAAACAAACAAAAAAAAGGAUAAAGCCUUUAGCACAAUGCCUAGCCCUCAGGAAAUAAUAAAUAUAAUAAAUUAUGAGUCAUUAUUUCAAAUAUUUAAUUAUUCUUCCCCAUAAUUCUUAAUCAGUGAUCAUUCUUCAUGUAUAAGGGGAAAAACUCCUACUUUCUGAAAAAUAAUAAUUCUGGGAAAACAUUCAGUAGUGUAUGAAAGCAAGCUAUCAUUGGAUCGUCACUUUCUAAUCCUUCAUAUUUCAUGUAUUAUGUUUAAUGUAUAAUAUAAAGCUCAUUGAAAAGAAAGGAAUAUCUCAAUUGUUAACUGUGUUUAGGAAGUUCUUAAACUGUUGAGAGAUAUAAUCUUUUAGGUGGAUAAUUACACUGACUUCUGAUGACUGAGAGUUACUUUUUUACCAAUAUGUUUAUACUUCAAAUAUAGGUUAAAAAAAAACUUGGCAUUCAACAUAAUUAUACUAUGAUAUGUUAGAAACAAUAUACUAUGACAUAUUUUAAAAUUAUAUCAAUAAUUUGGCAGAUUAGUAAUCAAUAACCAAGAAUCUCCCCAAUUAAAUUACAAUAAACUGCACGGUAAAACAACUGCUAAUCCAGAUAAUAGAAAACAGACAUGGAAGAUAUAUAAUAAGCAUUUGGGGGAUAUGGAAUUUAUCCCAUGAGUGUUGUAAAGAGCUCAUAAUUUAACAGUGACGAAGCCCAAGCGUGUUAUGAGGGUCUUUCCUCAAAAGUGACAUUAAUUGCAUAUCCCACAGAUGCCUAUUAUGUACUCUAUUGAUAUCAAAGUAUAAAAUACAGUAAAAAGUUUACAGAUUCAAUACAUUUAAAAGUGAUAAUAAAACAGUUAUUCUGGCCUACUAAAACUGUUAAACUUCAAAUUUUAGUCUCUUUAUAAUAAAAGAAUGCUGUAGUAGCAUUGAAUCUCUAUAUAAAUCUGCUCUAAGUUAGAGUUUUUUGAACUCACAACAUGAUGUGUGAUCAGUGAUAGAAUUGUAACGCAAAUAUUUUAGAUGCUUUUGCACAAAAAUAAUCCCCAAGUGAUGAAAUCUCAGGACAUUCUUAUGCUUAUACUAAAAAAUACCACAAAAAUGACUCUUAAAAAAUUACCUUGGAAAGCUGGAAAUGAUGCAGUCAAUAUUUUACUUUGCAAAUUGGUCAGUAUGUAUUGACAGGUUUAUAGAACCUAAUUUUUUUAAGUGCAAUACCAAUCAAUAAUUGGCAAACAAAAGACAACUCAAUAUGUUAAUUAGGCUGGGCGCAGUGGCUCACACGUGUAACCCCAGCACUUUGGGAAGCCCGGGCGGGCAGAUCACUCAAGGUCAGGAGUUUGAGACCUGCCUAUCCAAUGUGGUGAAACCCCAUCUCUACUGAAAAUACAAAAAUUAGCCAGGUGUGGUGGUGGGCGUCUAUAAUCCUAGCUACUCAGGAGGCUGAGGCAGGAUAAUUGCUUGAACCCGGGAGGCAGAAGCUGCAGUGAGCCAAGAUUGCACCACUGCACACCAGCCUAGGCAACAGAGCAAGACACCCUCUCAAAAAAAAAAGAAAAAAGAUGUUAAUUAUUUAUUCGAAUUAUAGUAAGAGAAACUUCAUUCUAUGUGCAACAGAAGGAACUUUCAUAAAAUUAAUGAAAAACAUAAUAUAAAUUACCUUUAGGAUAUAUUAUUUUAUAAAAUCACUUAUGUUGAACAUUUAAUUGCGGAUUUAAUUUUAUUUAACCUAAAAUACAGGUAGUAAAUUGAUUUAAAACUUGCUAACAAAAAAUUUUUAAUCAUCCAGAAGAUAAUACAGUUAAAUAUAUAAGUAACAGCAUUAAAUAAGCAAACUGUUAUAUAAUAUUCAAGAUUUCAUGUGGACUUAUUCACAUGUCAAGAUAAAUGUCAUCAAUUUAUAUAAAACUAGGAUCAUGUAAUUUAGAAUGAGAUUAUCAAAUUUUAGUGCAAGUAAUAGUUUUGUACUAUUUGUUAAUUCUAAUUUUGUUAAGUACAUCUAUUAGCAAAAUGCAGCAAGUGUACAUACUUAGGGCACAUCUCCCACCUCAGGAGAUAUUAACAUAUAUUCUCUUGGAAAAACUGGUUUUAAAAAUAAUUGCAAAAUUUAGUGACAAAUAUAACCAUAAUACAGACUAGAUUUAAGUAAUUUGAUGUUCCAUGCAACUGUUAAAAAUUUUGACUAAAAGUAGAAAUUGGACUCUACAUGGGGCUUAAUUUAAUCUUGCUAACACUUUUCCCCCAUGUAAAUAUAUAUUUAUGAUUUACUCCUCUUUCCAUACAAGCUGUUGGUAAUGAUAACAUUUUGCCAUUGGCUCAUUCAUUAUUGACAUUUUUAUUAUAAUUUCUAAUAUUUUACUUUUAUUUUUUAUUUUCUUUUUAAAUUUUUCAUUUUUACUAUAAUUUAUAAUUUUCUUGAAACAUUUUACUUUACAAAAAAAUUUGUUUUGUUUGAAAAUUAAAAUUCUAUAAAAUAUCUGGCAUGCAAAAGCACACUUUAGAUGACACCAUUAUGAAUUAUUAUGUAAUCUGAGAAAGCAGUUUCAUUAACUAAAAAGAGAUUAUUUUACAUCUGCCCCUUGGUGAUAUUUACUCAAACCACUGUCUAUAUUUUCAAGUAUUAAUUCUGAAUGUAAAACUAAAUUAACAACUUUCUUCUAAAAGGAAUAAACAGUAGCACAGCAAUUACUUAGAUUAAGAUAUUUGUGUGAUACAGAAUAAGAUAUUUUAAUUCAUUUCCAUGAGAUACAAAACUAUAAUAUUAAAUUCUAGAACAUAAAAUUAUUCUGCCAAACUAUAUGAUCAUUUCUAAAAGUUUACUCCCAACUUCUAUAGCAUCACUUUAGAAAGCAGUGGUCUAAAACACGGCUAUUAUAAGUUUGCAGGUAAGAGAAGCACAUAGGCUCUAGUGAAAAGAAAAAAAAAGUCAAAGACAGAGUUGGAAGGGCUAACUAAUGAUUCACACAGGACAUCAUAUUCACAUAGCCAUGACAUUCUAAUUAAGUAAUGGUAAUGACAAAUAAUGAUAAUAAAGGCAUGUCAAAACAUACAUUAAAUGUAUACUACAUACUGAGUACUACUUUUUUUUGUAUAUUAUGAUUUAAUUCUCACAGGCACCCUAUGAAGUAGGUACCAUUAUUUUUAAUUUCCAUUUCACAGAUGAAAAAACAAAGGCUGUUUCAUUUCAGAGCCUAUGCUUCUAUCUACCGUUAUUAUUAGAGAUGGGGGUCUUGCUAUGUUGCCCAGGAUGGACUCGAACUCCUGGGUCAAGCGAUCCUCCUGCCUCAGACUCCCGAGCAGGGUGGGAUUACAGGCAUGUGCCACCAUGCCUGGCUUACACUGUUUUUUGACCCAAAGUUUCUAAUAGUCAUUAAUAGAAAAUACAUAGAUGGGUAGUACAGAUGGUAGUACAGCUUAGGGAUAUAAGAAAAUUCAAGCACUCUGGCCUUUCAUGUGCUCCAUAAAUAGUAAUAACAAAACCAAAUUAAUAUGUGAAAUAGGUAAAUAAAAUCCUUGCAUUAUAAAAUGUAAUAGAGGCCAGUUGAGAUGAGUAAUCUAUUCUUCAAAGAUUAAAAAAUACAUAUUUUAAAAAAUAAUACAGAUGAGAUUCUAUUAAAAUAUAAUGAGCUAAAUGAGGUAGCUAUGAUUAUUGCAAGACCUGGUAUUUUCAGUAUUGCUGAUAAUGUUGGAGAGAUUAAGAAUAAUUAUGUCAUGGAUCAUGGAAUUUUAAUGGGAAGGUACUGGUCAAAAUGCCAAAGAAAUUCUAUAAAUUAUUCUGAUAAAGAUGAAACUAACCCCUGAAACUAACUGAAGGAAACUAACAUCUGAAAAGGAAACAGAAACACUCUGGUUAUAAAUUAUUGCACCCAAGCCCACGCCAUCACCACUGCAACAUCAAGCACCGGUUUGGGCAAGAAGGCAAAAAAUUAUAAAGCAUUUCAAAGAAAUGAUAAACAUGUUCAACAUCAACUUCUUUCCCCAAUAUUUAAAACCAAUUUCUGGAUCUUAGCAAGCAAUUUUUGAGGGUGUAAAAUGUGCUUUUGUAUUUGGAUAUACCAAUUAUUUGCACAGUGGAGAGGAAUAUAAAAAUUUAACUCCUGACCUUGUUACUAGCUCUUUCAAAUAAAUUUUUAUGUCUAUAAUCAUAAAUGUAUUAGUUAGACUUUCAAAUGUACAUAGCAAUUCAUUAAUAACCUGCAUUGCUGCCCAAUACCACAUGUCACACACAAUUUUCUCAUUUCCAGUGGAAAUAAUGAAGCUGCUCUCAAUGAUGAGGUUAAGCUAAAGUAAGAAAAAGGAAAACAUGCAGCGUUAAAACAGAAAAGCAGACUUCUUCAGUCACAGUUCAGGGCUUCCAGAGAAGAAAAACAGCUGAGAGUUAUUAUUCAUGGAAGACUCUGUAUAAAAUGAGAAUAUAAACAAAACACUAUUCUCUUUUCUGGGUUAAAUAAACAGACCCUGCUCUGGGUGACUUGUUUGAGAUUCUCUGCAAUUGAAAUAAUGAAUUCACAUUUAUUGAGCAUCUACUAAGUACACCUCAAUAAAAAAAUUGCCUCAAUUUUGCAUGUUCUACCUAAUGGAGAGUCAAGCUUUACAUAAAGUAUCUACCAAGAAACUGCCUAGCACUACAUAUAAAUGUUCUACUAUUUCAAUAUAGAGAACCCUUUUGUCUGUAGCAGUGCAUAGAUAAUUCACAUUUACUAAAAUCACUAUUUUUUAAUUUGCAUACACACCUUAUAAGCCACUGAAAAAAUACACACACACACACACACACACACACAUGCACACCCACCCCUAAGGAGUGAGCAUCUCCCUGUUCUGCUAUGACAUGUUACAGAAGUUAUGUGGCUGAAGAAAAUUAAUACAUUAUGGUCAUUAUGGUCUCUGAGAGGCAUCUAUCUUACUUACAGGAAUCUACGUCUGAGGGUAGAACAAAAGAUGAUCAUAUGAUAUAAUGGAAAGAACAUGAAUAUUUUAUUGUAUUGUUAGGAUUUGGGGCUGGCUCCAUGCAUGUACGACUCAUACAACUUCUUGGAAUGCUUGGUUCAAUGAUCUGCUGUUACCAGCUUGAAAUUCUUACUAAUUUUUUCAAAGGGGCCUUGCAUCUUUCUUUUGCACUGAGCUCUGCAAAUUAUGUAGCCAAUCCUAAAUAAUUAUGGCUCUGAGUUAUGAUUUCACUGUGAAAUAUGUGUAAACUAAACCUGAGCCUUAACUUCUUCAUCUCUAAUAAAGGAAUAAUACCCAAUUUACAGGGUUGGUAUUACAAAGAGUAUUAGAUGAGAUACCAUACACAGGUGAAAGUGAUAAGCACUGAGCAUGCACAUAGACACACAAAAGAGAUGUGAAAUAAAAUGGAGAAGGAACAGUUGUUAUUUUUAAGGAUCCGAGCACAUAGAAAUUUACAUAUCAUUAGAAACUACUAUAUAAUUAGAUGUAGUUGAAAUUGAAACUUUAGGCUGGGUGCAAUGGCUCAUAUCUGUAAUCCCAGCACUUUGGGAAGCAGAGGCAAGCUCAGGAAUUCAAGGGGAGCCUGGCCAACAUGGUGAAACCCUGUCUACCAAAACUACAAAAACUUAGCUGGGCUUGGUGGCACGCGUCUGUGGUACCAGCUACUUGGGAAGCUGAGAUGGGAGGAUCGCUUGAGCCCAGGGGGCAGAGUUUGCAGUAAGCCAAGAUCAUGCCACUGCACUCUAGCAUGGGUGAAAGAUGGAGACUCUGUCUCAAAAAACAAACAAACAAACAAAGAACUUUAAUACUUACAACCCAUAUAUCUGUGGUGCAAUUUCUAGUCUGUUCAAG
rnacentral:lncRNA from 1 species